rnacentral:sRNA from 1 species
AGGCGGCGGGCGCGGCCGGGAUGGCGAAGAGCAACGGAGAGAAUGGGCCGCGCGCGCCCGCGGCCGGGGAAAGCCUGUCGGGAACCCGGGAGAGCCUGGCCCAGGGCCCCGACGCCGCAACCACCGACGAACUCAGCUCUCUCGGGUCCGACUCGGAGGCCAACGGCUUCGCCGAGCGCCGCAUCGACAAGUUCGGCUUCAUCGUGGGCUCGCAGGGCGCCGAGGGCGCGCUGGAGGAAGUCCCCCUGGAGGUGCUGAGGCAGAGGGAGUCCAAGUGGCUGGACAUGCUCAACAACUGGGACAAAUGGAUGGCCAAGAAGCACAAAAAGGCUGACGGUAUCCUGCCACAUGGCUGCUGAAACCAACAUACCUGCGUGAAAGUGCCCAGGCCACACCUCUGGGCACAUUCUGGUUCAUCUCAUGAGCUACCUUCCCUGUGGCUGCAGCUGAGCCGCACACAGUGCAAUGCCCUCCCUGGUGACAGACUAUGGGGUUCACCCAACUUGUAAUGGUUCCUUUU